rnacentral:lncRNA from 1 species
AAGAUGGAUACAUCAAAAUAAGUCCAUCAAAAUACUCACAUAAGGAAAAUUGAAUUCAACCGAUAAUAUACCAAAGUGGGGACCACCGGAAUUUAGGGGAUCUGAAAAUCUCAUCCACGAGAGACAAAAAAGGAAACUAAUUCAUUCCUAAUAGAUUCGGAAUAUACACCAGAUCUAAGGAAAAUCUUUUCUAACAAAUGACGGUUUUUCCAGCACACCAUUGGAAGACGAUUUGGGAGACCUCAACUCACUUUAUAUAAGGUGCACUCAAUGACUGAAGAACAGGGGGGAAAGCAUCGUUACCCUACGUAGAAAAGCAAGAAAAGCUCAUAACACCAAGCAAGCAUACACCUCGAUCGUAACGAGUCAAGGGAGGACGUGAUCGCAACCCUGCAGAGAUCCCGCCAUAAAAUCGCAUUAAAGCUCAAAGAAAGAGCUAAACCUUGUUAUUCUAAACAACCAUACAUAUAGAAGAACGAGAGGAGAAGUCGAGGAUUCGAAGCGAAAAAAUAAAAGUCAUAAUCCUUUACCUGAGGUAUAGUUUCGGCCACCGGAAUCUCGCCAGAGUUGUGAAGCUCCGGUGAGAUCUAUUCCUUUCAUGUUAAUCUUAUCACCAUCGUAGCCUCCAUUUUUCUCUUAGGUUUUAGGAUUUAAGAUUAAUUGUGGUUGAUUGUUAUUGUUGUACACAUGAGUAAUAGCUUACUUUCAUGUUUGACUUUUGAAUGGACUUUGAAAUCCGAUUCAAAUUCUGAGAGUUUAUGAGCAUGGUUUGGAUUCGUUUUGGUCGUUGAUGUUGGGAUUUUCUGAAUGUUAUGCGGCUAGGGUUGAGAGAUUUGUUUUGGAUCAAAGGCUUUAUGUUCUCUUUUAAAAGGAUGUCUGGGUUUGGAGGUGAUGAACAUCAUCUGAUGUUCAUCAAGAUACCGCGUCGGUGGCUGUGUAGAUUUUUCUUAUUUUGUUUUCUUAUGCCGAUAUAUUGGGUUUUAAGAGAGGGAGAGAAGAUGCAUAAGAGAAGGAAGUUAAUUGAUUGUUGUUAAUUAGAGUUAAUUACUGUUUACGUAUUAGCUAAUGCGCUGACGGCUGAUGAGUAUUCCAAAGGCCGAACGUCUUCUCACUCAACAACCAGGCGGCUACGUGGAGAAUGUUGAAGGCUUGCAAAGCCACACACGUGGGGCAGCUGUACAUCCUCCCCUUCGGAUUCCAUCCCUUUCCUUUAUUAUUUCCUUUUUGGGCAAGGAUUUAGGGAAAGCUGAGUUUAAGGCCCAUUUCGCCAGCUGAUACAGCCAUGGGCCUCAGGGCCCGUUCAUAAUCCCUUAUAAUUCAUUUUUGGGACCUCUCUCCAUUAUUUUACUGCCCAUACCCCUAUCUUGAUCUAUUUCUUUAUAUAUUUAUUUCUUAUUUUGAUUUUUUACUAUUUAUCUAAUAAACAUGAUGACAUUAGUAGUAAUAUAUAUUAUUAUUUUAACUUUAAUUAUUUAUUUUAUCUUUCUUUUGAAUUUAUAAUUUUGUCUUCAUAUUAGAGUAUGUUCAAGUGAAUGUUUAAUUAGAUGUAAAUGAAUACGAUAGUUAUUUUCUCCCUAAUCAAAACGAAUCGAUGAUCAAACACCGAGCAACCGUCCUCAAAUCCUAUCAAUUCUAUAAUUCAAAACUUCUUUAUUUCAUCUACACAUUUUUUUUGUGAUUCAAACUUUGGACAAAAAAGAGUAUAAUAAGUGCACGCUUCAUUAUCUCUCGAGUAUUCAAACAAUUGGUGUUCUCCAUAUUGCUCGAAUUCUCGUCGUCUAGUUAAGACCUUAAUCGUAUAAGAUUAGCAUCAUUCCUAAACCAAAACCCAUUCCAUCUCACUCAUAAGCGAAUAUCUUGGUUCAAUGCCGAAUAUUUCUAAUUAACCACGCAAAUUCAAAUCAUUUUUCGAAUAAAUAUGACCUCUAAAGAAUUUUCUUUUAAAAUAGGAGUGAAAAGGAGAACAGGAAGCACCUGCUUCACUAUCUCUCGAGUAUUCGAACGAUUGGCGUACGCCAUAUUGCUCGAAUCCUUGUCACCCGAUUAAAACUUUAAUUGUACAAAUUCAAACUAUUCAAAUAAUUUAAUAGAAUAAUUAACAGCAAAGGAUACAAGGAGACGAAUAGAUUCUAACCUAGCGACUGGAGCAAAGGUUUCAUUGUAACCAAUUCCUUCUUGUUGACUAUAACCUUGUGCCACUAGCCGUGUUUUGUUCCUGACGACUUCACCCUUUUCAUUUAUCUUGUUUCUAAAAACCCAUUUAAUUCCAAUCACAUGGGUUCCCUUAGGUCUUGGUACAAGAUCCCAAAUGUCAUUUUUGGAAAACUAACCAAGUUCUUCUUUCAUUGCCAUAAUCCAUUCUUUAUCUUGAAGACCUUCUUCACAGGAUGUUGGCUCUAUCAGAUAUACUAGUCCCAGAAGUGUUUCUUCGGAAACUUUGACUGUUGAUCUUAUUUUGACAGGUUCCUCCUUGUUUCCUAGAAUUAGUUCUUCAGAAACAUUCGACAUAUUUCUUUCUCUUUUCUGAUUGAUUAUGCGUUCAGGUGCUUCUGAAGUUCCUCUUUCUACUUCUUCAGAGCCAUUUGUCUUUUCGUCAUAGCCUGCAAGUGUGAUCUCCAGAUCUGCAAAUUUCUCAACUAGCUUUGACUUUUCAGAGUCAAGCUUAUCAUCAAAUCUGACACGAAUUGAUUCCUCCACAAUUUGUGUUUCUGUAUUAUAUACUCGAUAUGCUUUAGAAAGUUAUGAGUAUCCCAACAUAAUACACUUUUGUGCCUUAGAGUCAAACUUGUUCAAAUUAUCUUUAGUGUUCAAAAUAAAACAAGAGCAUCCAAAAGGAUGAAAAUAAGAAAUGUUGGGUUUUCUUCCUUUGCACAAUUCAUAAGGAGUCUUCUCCAGAAUAGGUCUGAUAGAGAUUCGAUUUUGAAUGUAACAUGUUGUAUUCACAGCUUCUGCCCAAAAGUGCUUAGCCAUAUUAGUGUCAUUGAUCAUGGUUCUGGCCAUUUCUUGGAGAGUCUUACUCUUCCUUUUUAUAACUCCAUUUUUUUGUGGAGUUCUAGGACAGGAGAAAUCAUGGGAUAUUCCAUUAGAGUUAAAAAGUUCUUCAAAAAAUCUGUUUUCAAAUUCGCCACCAUGAUCACUUCUAACUCUGAUAAUCUUAGAGUCAUAUUCAUUUUGCACUUUUGAAUAGAAGCUGGUGAACACAGAUUGUGACUCAUUCUUGUGCCUUAAGAAUUUUACUCAUGUCGAACGACUGUAGUCAUCAACAAUGACAAGUCCAUACUUCUUACAUUUACUGACGUUUUCUUAACAGGUCCUGUAAGACCCUAAUUUUGACCCUAAGAUCCCUCAUGGCAUCAUAUCAUUGCUCAUUGCAUUACCUCAAGGAUCAUAACUUGUGUGGCUCAUUUACCCUAAGGGUGGGACUUGUGUGAGUGUUUUGAGACCACCAAGCAUGCUUGUAUUUUAUAUUAUUGCUUUUCUUCUUUGUUUACUAACCAAAAGCACAAAAAUAUGUCACUAACUCUUUUUGUUUUGAAGCUCAAGUGAUCAUGUGCUCCAAUGCUCCUAGGAGGCUCUUAAGCUCAAUGAAAUGGCUAGAUAAAGAUGAGAAAAAAGCAUGAAAAUGGUCCACAAAGUUCCUAAUCAUCAUAUAUGUCUCCCAAGUAUCUCAAUUUUACAACUUGAUCAAGAUAACCCAAAGGGCUUGAGGAUUGUUUCCCAAGGAAACCCUAAUUCAAUUGUGCAUUGACUGUGCCUUGCUCAUGAAGCAACCUCAACCUAUGGUCAAAUAAAAUCAAGGGAAGUUCUUUCAUUCAUUAUUUUAUGCAUAUAUUAGCCUAUGUGAGGUUCCUCAAUCAUUCAUUCAUCAAGAUUUGAAGUUUGGCCUUGAGAAGUUGACCAGUCAAGUCAUCUGACUAAACUGAGGAUCUCUGAGACGUAACUUUUGAUGUGUUAUUCAAAUGAAUAUGACCCCAAGAGAAAAAAUGUUCUUAAGAACCAUAUGAACAACUUUCAUGUUCAUUCAAAAUCCAUUUGAUACUUUUAAGAUCAUCAUUCAUUUCAAAACAUUAUAGGUCAUUUUGACUGAAACCCUAAUUUUGGGUCAACUUCCCAAGGAUCUAACUUCCUUAUUUUUUAUGAUUUUUAGGUGAGACCAAAUGCAUUGGAAAGUUUAAGAUGUAUAAUUCAAUUUUUAUGUUGUACAAAAUUUCAUAAUAUUAAAAGAAACACAUGUGAUAAUACAAAACAUUAUAGGUCACUUUGGACCUAAGUCAUUGAAUUUGAAAAAUGCCCAACUUUAAGUGCCCAUAACUUUCUCAUGAAAACUAUAAAUGAUGCAAACUUUAAGUCUAAAUUGAUCAUAUUGAAAAUAUCUACAACUUUGAUGUUUGAGGUUUUUCCAUUUGAGGCUUGCAUCAUUGAAACAUAAGGGCUUGAAAGUGCUUGCUUGUGGUGUAAUUUUUCAAAGGGAACCUAGACAUGUUUUGUACCCCAAACUUCACAGACAGUUUUCAUAAAUUUCCAAACUCCAAAUGGAUUUUUGGCCAACAUGACUUUUUUUCCUUAUUUCCAGGGCUUUCCAACCAUUACUCACAUUAAUUUUUUUGGACUUUCCAUGAGUGAGUUUCGAAGAGCUUAAUGUUUAUGUGCAUUUUUGCAUUUCACUUUAUAACUUCAUGUGCAAGCAAAUGCCAGGCCUUAUGCACGUCCAAUUCACUUAUACUUGAUCUCAUCAUGGAUUUCCACUCACUUUUGGGCCUCACAUGCGCCUGUACAGGCUUAUGCAUGGAGGAUCCAAUUUUCUUGCACACGAGGGAAAGCAUUGCAUUGCAUCGGUUUCAGCUAUAAAUAGAAGCUCAUGCUCAUUCAAAAAUAAACCUAAAGGAUAUCUGGAACGCUGCUGGAUUGAAAACCAAACCCUCACCUAAAGGAAUUUCAGUUUUCAUUUUCAAUUUCAAGCUUGAAUUUCAACAUCAUUAGUUGAUCUUCAAGUCUUAAUUCCUUAACCUUGCAUCACCAUUACACUUCUAGAUCAAAAUUGGAUCAAGAGCUUGGACAAUUCGUGCUGUUUGAAGCUCCAUUUCAGAGGUAUAUCACCAAACUUUUUUUAUUCAGAUCUUGAAAUAUAAUGUGAAUUCCUUUGGUUUGUGCUGUUUUCUGAAGUCCUCGUGCAUGAGGCAGGUCAGUGGUGGUCUCAAUUUUGCAAAUCGUGCCAUUUCAGAUCAAGCACCAUGAUCUUCAAGCUCAUGUUUCUCUCUAAAUAGAAACUUUUAGGAGAAUCCAUGGUUACAGGGGUGAUGUACAUCACCUCGGCUUCAUUUUGAUACCUUGCUUUUUCAUUUUCAUUGAGGUUUGAAUUGCUGCGCGUGGUGGCCGGAAUUGGUUGUCUGGUCGGAGAAGAUGGUGGUGUCCACCACCAUCCCCACGUGGGAGCCUCAGAGGCCUUGGAUCUCAUCAAAACGUUUUAAUCGUGGCCUUGAAUUAUAUUGACUUGUUUUAAUUCAAUGUGUGAUGCGCUUGACUCACGUAUACCAUAUGAUCGCGCCUUUGAGCCCUCAGAUCAAUACCACGUCAAUUAAUGAAAAGAUCCAAUGGCAGCGCAUUUUUGCUAUUUUCUUAUUUUCUAAUUAAUUCCAUUUAAUUCCUUUUAUUUUCAAAAAUUCAUAAAUAUUUCAUUUGAAGUCACAAAAAUAUGAGACCAAUGCCAAAAAAAUUCUUGAAAAAUCUAGUUUCAUAUUUGGUUUUUAAUAGUUUUAAUUCAUUUUAAAAUACUUUUUGAUAUUUGAAAAAUCCAAAAAUAUUUUCUUAACACAUAUGGAUCAUGAUAAGUGUUACUUUUUAUCAGAGUAGUUAAAGAAUUAUGAUUUGAGAUUUAAUUGAGAUUUUAAUUCAUAUUGUGUUAUUUUUAUUGUUUUUAAUUGUUUUAAAAUAGUUUCUGAUUUCAAAAAUUGUUGAAAAAGUUUGUCAAAGCUUGUUUGACCAUGUUAGACCUAUGAGAAUUUAAUUGGACUUGUUGAAGUUGAUUUGAAUUGAAUUUCAGGUUUGACCAUAUUUUGUCCAUUUUAUUUUGCAUUUAUUUUUAAUUCAAAAAAUACCAAAAAAUAUGUUUGACUUGUUGACUUCUAAUCUUCAUUUCUCUUCUGUUUAGCAUUGGUUAAUGAUGAUUUGAUUCACUUUUGACCAAUUGUGUUUGACACUUUAUUUCUCUUUCCAUUUCAUUUCAUCUUCAUCUUAUUUCUUUUUAUUUUGGCCAAUGAGUUAAUGUCAUAUAAACUCAACUUGAUCCAAGAUCAAGUGAGUUGCUUUGAGUCCAAGAUAGGUUGCUUCUUGGUCAAGCAAAAAACCUAAAGUCCAUACAAGGCCUUUCCUCUUUUCUUUUGGCAUGGCAAGUUUUUGGAGCUUGACUUACUAGUCAUGAUCUUUAACUUGAGUUUAUUUUCCUAUAGUUUUAUUGACCAACCUCAGAUAGAGGUGACUACUACAUUAGUCCACUUACGAUUCUUAACAUAGCGCUAAAUUGUCUCAUGACAAACUAACAUAACCACUAAUUACUAACUUUAAUUUGAGUAUUUAAUUUCUUGCAAUUUACUUUAAUGAAAUUUACUUCUUGCUCAUUUAUUCAUAUUGCUUUUUAGUUUGCUCACUUGAGCAUAUAUUUUAUGUUUAUGUCAUUUUCCUUUUGCUCAUUUGAGCUCAUUAUUGUAUAUAAACAUAUUGUUGCCUUGUGUUGGUUUUGCUUUUGUUUUGUGUGAACCCAAUGCAAAAGGAGAAAGGACUUAGAAUUAGGAUAUACCUAUGCUUAAAGGAGUUCAAGAGCAACUAGGCCUCAUGCCUUUAGAAUGCUAAACCUGUUGAAGAGCAACUAGGCCCCAUGCCUUUAGAAUGCUAAACCUGUUGAAGAGCAACUAGGCCUCAUGCCUUUAGAAUGCUAAAUUUAAAAGUUGACUUCAAAGGACUUCCUUUCCAAAACUCAUUCUUUGUCCAUUCCUCUUAUUGUGUUAUGAACUUUUUGAUAUUUGUUCUUGUGUGAUAGGGAUUCCAUCUUGAGAUAGUAAGAAUGACCAUUCUCAUGAGUAGCCAAGUUAAGAGAGACAAGCCAAAUGGAGAUCCUAGGAGCUUGAACUUUUAAUUGUGUGAUUGCUUGUUGUUUGCUAAGUCCAAAGGAAAGGAGCAUCUUGAAUCAUCUCUAUGAUCUCAAGAAAGAGAACUCCAAGGGUUUUAUCUUCUCUCCUAUCUUUGUAUGCUUUAGGACUAGCCCUUCUCUUCUUCUCUCCACUCUAACCCAAGCCAAACUCUUUUUGUGUAAACUUUGACAUUGUUUUCAAACUAGAAACCCAGGCCUUAUGCCUUUGACUUUUCAAAAUCUUUUCAUUAAUACUCAUUAUGAAUAGAUCUUAAUUCAACUUUGACCUCAUUUUGUACAUAAACCUAACUUGUAAAUACAACUCACUUCAAGUUGAUUUUAUGGUUCCAAUGGCCACCUUUGAUAAAACCUUUUUUUCAUAAACAUUAGCCAUAAGUUUGAGUUAUCAUAGUGGUUGAUGUAAACCUCACCUUAUCCUUAGUGAUUGGAUUAUAAGUCUUCCAUACUUAUUAUAGGGUUAACCCCCCCUCCUGAGUAUGUUGAAGCCCUCCUCACAUGGUGGAUUGUUGGUUUAGGUUGAGUUUUCUCCCUUGAUACAAAAAGACCUUAAGGCUUUUGAUCAAAUCAAUUCACCAAUCUUUGAGAUUUUUACCCUGAACUACGAGGUUUUGAUCCUACCUUUGUGAUGGUACGUAGGCAAUGGUUCAUCCAUUCAAACAACAAAUUUGUAAAUAUAAUAUAUUCUCUUCUCAUCCCUCCAAUCUUUUGCACAUAUUUUCACAAAUACCAACCUACAACACACAUUUGCAAAAAGAGGUUCCCUUAGAGUACUAAGGAUGUUUUGGGUGCGUAAAACCUUCCCAUUUCAUAACCAACCCCCUUACCCCGAUCUCUGACAUUUUUUUAGUUUUUUAUUUGAUAAAAAUUCUUACUUGGCUUUUGUUCGCUUUUUAACCUUUCCUUUGGACAAAUAAAAGUGCGGUGGCGACUCGAAUUAUAUGUUUACUUUUGGUUUAGUCAAUAAGCCAUAAGGUAACGAAUACCCCGCUACAGAAAAUUGGCGACUCUGCUGGGGAAUCAUUUCCUAGUGGGUUUAGCCUAAUUUUUGCUUAUGUGUGUUGUGUGUUUAUAUUUAUUUGGAACAUAUUUUUGUGCAAAUUUGGGAUGAAUGUAUUGUUUGUAAUGUAUGAAUUGCUUGAUAUAUCAAUUGCUUGUAUGCUUGGUGGUUUCUUGUGAGAUGAGUUAUAUACCCGAACUCGAGUGCACUUAUGAUAGGAGAAUGGCAUAGUCUUGUUGACUUGGGUGGAGUUAUUCCUUAGCAAGUUGACUUGCAAGCCCAUUCACUUGGUGGAGGUCUUGUUGGGAUCAAUAAUGUCACACGAGUAGUCGUGGUUAGGCAUUACUCUUUCCAAUUUAAACCUUAGAAGCCAAGGACCUUAGAUACCUAGCCCAUCUUGGCCUAUUUUAGGACGUAGUACGAAAUUCAUUCAAGUGUAAGAUUUGAUACGAUUGUUACGCGAUACUACACUCAUAAGAGUCUCUCUUGAGAAUAUUUUUAGAAUACGAGUAGUCGUUUUAUCCGAUAAUAUCUGAAAGAUGAGAUGAUGACUAUGGGGACCUUUUUAGAACAUGAUUGCCGGGUUUAACCAUAAUACACUCCCAUAGGGUAGUUCUUAACCGAGACUCCAUGCUCGUGACUUACAACAAUCCCUUGAUUCGCGGUUGAUCUGUUCUUGUAUAUCCUCAAUAUCAAUGGAACUUGGGUGUUGAUAAGGUGUAAACCAUAAUCCACCAAAAUGGAUGAUUGAUAUUGACGAUGACUUGAGCCAUCCCGUGACCUUUGUAUGGUGUGACUUGCUUUGAUCCUUGAGUGUUGAUUGUUUCAUCCAUGCAUUCAUGCAUUCAUUCGCAUCCAUAUCAUCAACAAUGAGAAUUUCAAGGAACUUAAGAGGUCUAUUUGCAAAUUUCAGACAUGGAUUAAGCAAAGAAGGAAUACGAAGAAGUACAGUUUCAGACAACCCGACUUGAAAGAGUUAAGGAGUUUGACAUCUUAUGUAUUAGAGCCUUUGGAGUUCAAAGCUCGCCAUGGGAAGCUUCUAUCUAUUCUUUCUACCAAGGUGGAUGAGGGUCUGAUGAGUGUGUUGGUACAUUUCUAUGAUCCUCUGUAUCGUUGCUUCACUUUUCCGGAUUUCCAGCUUUUUCCUACACUUGAGGAGUAUUCCUAUCAUGUGGGUAUACCUAUCCUGGAUCAGUUGUCGUUCAGUGGUUUGGAGAGGGUUCCUUCUUCUCAAGAGAUUACUGACAUGCUUCAUAUAGAUGUAUCUGACAUUGUUGCUCAUAUGACUACCAAAGGUGGAAUUCAAGGUCUCCCAUCUGAUUUUCUCAUCGCCCAGGCUACUUUGUUUGGGAAGGCCAUGAGUGAGGACGCCUUUGAAGCCAUAUUCAUGCUACUCAUCUAUGGACUAGUGUUAUUUCCCAACAUCGGCAAUUUUGUGGAUGUGAACGCUAUUAGGAUUUUCUCUUCUCUCAAUCCCGUUCUGACUCUGUUGGGUGACACUUAUUUAUCUUUGCAUAUGAGGAAUGCAAAGGGUGGUGGUGCCAUUGUGUGAUGUUUGCCUCUGCUGUACAAGUUGUUUAUUUCGCACUUGCCUCAGACGCUCGCCUUACAGGAGAACAAGGGAUGUCUACGGUGGCCUGCGAGACUUAUGUCUCUCACCAAUGAUGAUAUAUAUUGGUAUAAUCGUGUUUAUGAUGGCAUUCAGAUUAUUGACUCUUGUGGUGAAUUCUCCAAUGUGCCUCUUCUUGGUACAUGUGGUGGAAUUAAUUACAACCCUGUUUUGGCUCGUCGUCAGCUUGGGUUCCCCUUAAAGGAUGAACCUAAUAACAUUUUGUUGGAAGGUGUGUUCUUUCAAGAGGGUAAAGAUCCCCAGAACUUGAAGGAUAGGAUGGUUCACGCCUGGCGCAAAGUUCAUAGGAAGGGAAGGAAGGAGCUUGGUCCGAACAAUUGUAUUGCUUUGGAACCCUACACCUCUUGGGUGAGGAAGAGAGCUCUCGGGUACCGCAUGCCGUAUGAUUAUCCAAGACCUACCCCUAUGGUUAUGGUUGGGCCCUCAACCCUCUCUAGCCAAGGAGUAGAGGAGUUAAGAGAUGAAGACCGAUCGCGUGCAUGGGUUCGUGAGUGAGAGGAACUUCUUCAGCAGCUUAGAGAUAAGGAUGCAGUGAUAGAAUUUCUAGAGAAUCGGGUUAUUGAUGAGCCUGAUGAUGUGGUUACUUCUCUUCUUCCUUAGUCAUCCAGGUUUUGGAAGAGGAAGUAUGAUCGGCUCACCAAGGAGAAGGCCGACAUGGAAGCAGCUUAUGAGAGAGAGGUGAAGAGGCUUCGUGCAGCUUAUCUUCCGAUCUUGAGAGCUUUGGAUGAUUGUUUCUAGGGCUCCAUAGGAUGUUUACUCUCCUUUUCUCUUGUAUUGUAUUUGGUUACCAAAACUGUACUACUUCAUUGGUGUAAAAAAUUUCCCAAAUAUUAUUGCUAUGAGUACUCUAUAUAUGUCUUAAAAGAUCAAUAUUUUCAAAUAUUUGCAAAUAGAUCUCUAUAAAUUUCCUCUGAUAUAAAACAAAUCAUAUGCACAAACAUUGCAUGCAUCAUAUGCAUAAGCAGGUUUUGUUCUGAGCUCUUGAUCAGUGGUCUAACUCUUUGCUCUUCAUUUAUUUUGAAGACAAGCUGACGCACCUGUAUAAUACCAGAGCCAAUCAUCCAAGGAUAAUGGAGCAUUUAGAGCAAGAGAACCGGGAUUUUAAAGAAGAGAUCGCGAGGUUGACUGCCAUGAUGGAGUCAGUUCUGGCCACCCAGAGCCAAGCUUCGCCAACUCCUGCAACUCCUCACUAGAGGACUGUCAUUUCUGAGGUUGCUACCUCGACUGUGUCUGCUGCAACAGCCCAUUUUGCUCCGUUUAUACCAGUCGGGUUCCCUUGGGGAAUGCCCGCUAAUUUUGUGCCAUAGGGCUUCGCUCCUACUCUUUCUUCUCUGCCGGCAUCUAGCCCGAUCCUUUCUGUGCCACCUCCCAUUGUGCACACCUUACCCCAAGUUGAAGACACCAUCUAUCAUUCCGAGCCGUCUGAAGGCCCGGAUGUUUAUGAAAAGAUGGACGAGAUAAAAGACAAAUUCCUUGAGCUGCAUAAGGAACUGAAGACUCUGAGAGGUAAGGACCUCUUUGGUAAGAGUGCUAUUGAGUUAUGCCUCAUUCCCAAUGUGAAGAUCCCUGUUAAAUUCAAAGUGCCUGACUUUGAGAAGUAUAAGGGAAACACAUGCCCGCUCAGCCAUCUUGUGAUGUAUCCUCGCAAGAUGUCAACAUAAACAGAUAAUGACCAACUUCUUAUCCACUACUUCCAGGAUAACUUAUCACGUGAUGCGCUCCGGUGGUACAUGGGUUUGGAGAGUGCGGACAUCCGCUCCUUCAACGAUCUUGGAGAGGCAUUUGUAAAACAAUACAAAUAUAAUGUGGAUAUGGCUUCGGACAGGGACCAACUGAGGGCGAUAUCGCAGAAGGACAAGGAGACCUCCAAGGAAUACGCCCAGAGAUGGCGCGAAUUGGCAGCUCAGAUAGUGCCACCCCUAGAAGAGAAGGAGAUGACAAAGAUAUUUUUGAAGACUUUGAGCUCUUACUACUAUGAAAGAAUGAUUGCCAGUGCUCCCUCAGACUUCACCGAAAUGGUGAAUAUGGGGAUGAGAUUGGAGGAAUGGGUCCGUGAAGGACGGUUAUCCAGAGAAGACAGCUCUUCAGCAAAGAGGUAUGGGGGCUUUGCUAAGAAGAAAGAGGGAGAGACACAUGAUGUAUCCUCUCACAUUAAAAGAAGACCCUCUAUGAAGAGGAAGAAUGUGCGUCCUGCUAUUAACCAACACUAGGUGGCUCAUAUAGCACCUGCUUUUAGAGAAGUUCAUCAACAACAACAUCGUCAACAACAAUAGGCCUACCAGCCUCGAAACAAUAAUAACACUAGCACCAGCAACUACGAGAGGAAGAGGGUAACUUUUGACCCGAUUCCGAUGACAUAUGCUGAACUUUAUCCUUCUUUGAUCGAUAGAAAACUGAUAACUCCACGAGACCCUCCUGCUGUACUGACCAACCCUCAGUGGUGGUAUAAGCCAGAGCUUCACUGUGUAUAUCAUUCUGGUGCUCCCGGACAUGACAUGGAGAACUGUUAUCCAUUGAAGACCAAGGUGCAAGACCUUGUGAGAAGUGGAAUAUUUUUUUUCGAGGACGUAGGUCCUAAUGUUAACAAGAACCCAUUGCCCGAGCAUGGGAAAGUAGCUGUUAACAUGGUCCAGGGAUGCCCUGGCAAAUAUAAAGUCAUGUAUGUUAAUGACAUAAGGCAAUCUUUGGUCGAGAUGCACAAGUUGUUGUAUGAACACAUCCAUUACGAGCAUGACCAUGAUAGGUGCCAGGUGUGCAUUAUCAAAGAGAGAGGAUGCCGAAAAGUUAGAAUGGACAUCCAAGAGAUGAUUGAUCAAGGGAUGAUCGAGAUACUUCAGAAUCGUAAUGAGGACGAAGUUGAUGUUAUCUCCCCGGUAUUCAGAAUUCCUGAGCCUGUUGUCGUCAAAUAUGAUGGCAGCAAAAAGAAGGUAUCUCCAGCUCUUGUGAUCAAGCCAGCGGGUCCGGUCCCGUAUGUAUCAGACAAGGAUGUUCCCUAUAGAUACAAUGUUGUGAUGUUAGAAGAUGGAAAGGUGGUGUCGUUGCCCUCAACCUCUCUUGUGAGCAUCUCAAACGUCAGUGGUGUGACCCGUAUUGGUCGUGUUUUCUCGGUGCAGCCGAAAUCCCAUGAAGAUGUCAUGAAGAGAACAAUUGAUAAUUUUGUCGGUCCCGUGGGGACUUCUUCUUCGAACAAUUUUGUUCUUGCUGUGAAGGAUGUUGACCCUGUUGUUGUGAAGAAUAAUAGUACUCAUGUCUUGGUUGGCCAGUCUGGCAUUUUGAAAGAGGACGAUGAUGAGAUGCAGAGGCUCAUCAAAGGAGUAAAUACAAUGUUGUUGAUCAGCUGUUACAAACUCCAUCAAAGAUAUCUGUUUUAUCUUUGUUGAUGAAUUCUGAGCCGCACCACGAAGCUUUGCAGAGGGUUUUGGACAUGGCAUACGUGGACCAUGAUGUCACAAUAGAACAGUUUGAUAGCAUUGUUGCAAACAUAACCGCUUGCAACAACUUGAGCUUUUGUGAUGUUGAUCUUCCCGAGGAGGGAAAAGACCACAAUUUGGCCUUACGCAUAUCAAUGAAAUGUAAGGAUGAUGCCUUUUCCAAUGUGUUGGUGGACACAGGAUCAUCACUUAAUGUGUUGCCAAAAUCCACUCUCGCUAAACUUUCUUACCAGGGGCCUCCCAUGAGGCAAAGUGGAGUGGUUGUGAAGGUGUUUGAUGGAUCGCGCAAAACUGUGAUCGGUGAUUUAGAACUCCCGAUCAAGAUUGGACCUAGUGAUUUCCAGAUCACUUUUCAGGUCAUGGAUAUUCAUCCAUCUUACAGCUGUUUUCUUGGCAGACCAUGGAUUCACGAGGCAGGCGCCGUGACAUCCACCCUACACCAAAAGUUGAAAUUCGUUAAGAAUAAGAAGUUGGUGGUGAUAGGGGGAGAGAAGGCUCUCUUGGUCAGUCAUUUAUCUUCCUUCUCCUAUAUUGAUGCUGAGGAUGAGGUUGGAACUCCGUUCCAAGCCUUAUCUAUUAUUGAGCCUUCAAGGAAAGGACUUUCUUCAUUUGUCUCCUACAACGAUGCAAAGUUGGCCAUUGAGCAUGGUGCAACUACUGGUUUAGGGAAAAUGAUAAGGUUGGAAGAUAACAAAUCCCGAACUGGCAUAGGGUAUUCUUCAGGUGUUUCCAAUGAGCAUGGGCUAUUCUAGAGUGGAGGUGUCAUCCACACGGUUGAAGAUCAGGAAGCUGUUGCCAUUGUGGAAGAUGAUGAAGAGGAAGACCUUGGCAACUUUGUCAUACCUGGUGGAAUCUGCAAUAAUUGGGUCGCUGUUGAUGUUCCAACAGUUAUCCAUAAGUCAACGUAAUGUGUUCAUUUUGUUUGAAAACUCUUCUCCCAUGCCAAAAGGAGAAGUGAAGGCAUUAUUGGCAUAUUUGAUUAAUACAAUGAUAUUCAUUCAAUAAUCACAUGUUAAAUGUUUGUUUUCCAAAAUUAUUUUUCCCUUUUGCUUUUUGCUUGAAAUUGGUGAUCUCCAUAAAACCCUAAAAAGAGAAUAAAAUCAACUUUUCAUCUGCAUAAUAAUUUGCCUUGUUUGAAUUCUGAAAUCUCUUUUAUACUCAAAAUCAUUAUGCAGGUUGAUCAAACCCAUUGAACAUAAUGAUCCAGCACCAUCUCCCAACUUUGAGUUCCCUGUAUUUGAGACAGAAGAAGAUGAGGUUGAAGAGAUUCCUGAUGAUAUUACCCGUUUGCUUGAGCACGAGGAGAAGAUCAUUCAGCUGCAUCUUGAGAAUCUGGAAAUAGUCAACUUGGGGUCUGAAGACUGCAUCCGUGAAGUGAAGAUUGGGGCGCUCCUUGAAGAGUCUGUUAAGAAGGGGUUGAUUGAGUUGCUACGAGAAUAUGUCGACGUCUUUUCCUGGUCGUAUGAAGACAUGCCUGGUCUGGAUACUGAUAUUGUGCAACAUUUCUUGCCAUUGAAGCUUGAAUGUGUGCCGGUGAAGCAAAAGCUCAGAAGAACUCAUCCUGAUAUGGCAGUGAAGAUUAAAGAAGAAGUUCAUAAGCAAAUUGAUGCGGGGUUUCUGGUGACUUCUACAUAUCCUCAAUGGGUGGCCAACAUUGUGCUCGUGCCUAAGAAAGAUGGAAAAAUCCGAAUGUGUGUGGAUUACCGUGACUUGAAUAAAGCUAGUCCGAAAGAUGAUUUUCCUCUACCACACAUUGAUAUGUUGGUAGACAAUACGGCUAAAUUCAAUGUCUUCUCACUUAUGGACGAAUUUUCCGGUUAUAACCAGAUUAAAAUGGCACUCGAGGAUAUGGAUAAGACAAUAUUCAUCACACCUUGGGGAACAUUCUGUUAUUGAGUGAUGCCCUUCGGUUUGAAGAACGCCGGAGCCACGUAUCAACGUGCUAUGACUACCUUGUUUCAUGACAUGAUGCACAAAGAGAUCGAGGUGUAUGUCGAUGAUAUGAUUGCAAAGUCGAAAACGGAGGUUGAACAUGUAGAACACUUGUUGAAGCUUUUCCAGCAUUUGAGGAAGUAAAAACUCUGCCUGAAUCCAAACAAGUGUACAUUUGGAGUUCGUUCGGGCAAGUUAUUGGGCUUUAUUGUCAGUGAAAGAGGUAUUGAAGUUGAUCCUGCCAAGGUCAAAGCAAUACAAGAGAUGCCUGCGCCCAAAACUGAGAAGCAAGUCUGAGGUUUUCUUGGUCGCUUGAAUUACAUUUCAAGGUUUAUAUCCCACAUGACUUCCACAUGUGUGCCUAUAUUCAAGCUCCUCCGGAAAGAUCAGCGUCAUGAUUGGACCGAGGAUUUCUAAAAGGCCUUUGAUUGUAUCAAAGAGUAUUUGUCUGAGCCUCCGAUUCUGUCUCCGCCUGUUGAAGGGAGACCGUUGGUUAUGUACUUGAUCGUGCUUGAUGAUUCCAUGGGAUGUGUAUUGGGUCAGCAAGAUGAAUCAGGGAAGAAGGAAUAUGCAAUAUACUACUUGAGUAAGAAGUUUACUGAUUGUGAGUCUCGAUACUCAACACUUGAGAAGACAUGUUGUGCUUUGGCUUGGGCAGUUAAGCGCUUACGCCAGUAUAUGUUGAAUCAUACGACUUGGUUGAUAUCUAAAAUGGAUCCAAUCAAGUAUAUCUUUGAGAAGCCUGCUUUAACUGGGAGGAUUGCCCGUUGGCAGAUGUUGUUAUCUGAGUAUUAUAUUGAGUAUCGAGCUCAAAAAGCUAUUAAAGGUAGUAUCUUGGCUGACCACUUGGCACAUCAACCAAUUGAAGAUUAUCAGUUUGUUCAGUACGACUUCCCUGAUGGGGAGAUUCUGUAUUUGAAAAUGAAAGAUUGUGAUGAGCCUACGCUCGAUGAAGGACCAGAGCCUGGUUCCGGAUGGGGUAUGGUGUUCGAUGGCGUUGUUAAUCAGUAUGGGAAUGGUAUUGGGGCAUUGAUUAUUACUCCUCAAGGCACACAUUUUCCUUUUACAGCAAGGCUAACUUUCAAAUGCACGAAUAAUAUGGCGGAGUAUGAGGCCUGUAUUAUGGGUUUGGAAGAGUGUACUGAUCUUAGGAUCAAACAUCUUGAUGUUUAUGGUGAUUCGGCCCUUGUUGUCAAUCAGAUUAAGGGUGAAUGGGAAACGAAUCAGCCUGGCCUCAUCCCAUACAGAGAUUAUGCGAGGAGGAUUUCAACUUUUUUACUGAGGUUGACUUCCAUCAUAUUCCUCGAGAUGAGAAUCGGAUGGCAGAUGCUCUUGCUACGCUUGCUUCAAUGAUGGUUGUCAAGUAUUGGAAUGAAGUCCCCAAUAUUACUGUGAUGCGCUUGGAUAGACCAACUCAUGUGUUUGCAGUUGAAGAAGUGAAAGAUGAUAAGCCAUGGUAUUAUGAUAUUAAGUGCUUUCUCCAAAGUCAGAUUUACCCUCCUAGGGCAUCCGUUAAAGAUAAGAAGACUUUGAGGAGAUUAUCUGGCAGUUUCUACCUUAAUGGUGAUGUGCUUUACAAGAGGAAUUUUGACAUGGUUUUGCUCAGAUGUGUGGAUAGACACGAAGCAGACCUGUUGAUGACUGAAGUCCAUGAGGGUUCAUUUGGUACUCAUUCCAAUGGACAUGCUAUGGCAAAGAAGAUGUUGAGAGUAGGCUACUAUUGGCUGACAAUGGAGUCUGACUGCUGCAAAUAUGUGAAGAAAUGCCACAAAUGUCAGAUUUAUGCGGAUAAGAUUCAUAUUCCACCGACACUUCUGAAUGUUAUUUCCUCACCAUGGCCUUUCUCCAUGUGGGGAAUUGACAUGAUUGGCAUGACUGAGCCAAAGGCGUCAAACGGUCACCGUUUUAUUCUCGUAGCCAUUGAUUACUUCACCAAGUGGGUUGAAGCGGCAUCAUAUGCGUAUGUGACUAGGCAGGUGGUUGUGAA